rnacentral:rRNA from 1 species
GGAUCAAACUGUUGGUCGUGCCUUGGUACGUACUGGCAUUAUUGAUUUCUCCCUUCUGAAGAACCACGAUGUCAUUAAUUUGGUGUCUUGGGGAAUCAGGACUGCUACUUUGAAAAAUUAGAGUGUUUAAAGCAGGCUCACGCUUGAAUACAUUAGCAUGGAAUAAUGAAAUAGGACGUUUGAUUCUAUUUUGUUGGUUUCUAGAAUUGACGUA